AGCUUUGCUCACAGGCACAUCAUAUCCCAUAACACCUGUGCACUUGUCGGAUGGCUUAGUGAAGACCGCAAGGUUGAAUCUAUCCAUCUACUUUACAUAACAAUUCUGUAACAAAUGUAGUCUUAUUAUAACAUAAUAAAACUUUCAACAACGGAUCUCUUGGCUCUCGCAUCGAUGAAGAACGCAGCGAAAUGCGAUAAGUAAUGUGAAUUGCAGAAUUCAGUGAAUCAUCGAAUCUUUGAACGCACCUUGCGCUCCUUGGUAUUCCGAGGAGCAUGCCUGUUUGAGUGUCAUGAAAACCCUCAACCCUAGAUUGGUUAAAACCUUUCUUUGGUUUGGAUUUGGACGUUUGCCGAUGAUAAGUCGGCUCGUCUUAAAAGUAAUAGCUGGAUCUGUCUCGCGACAUGGUUUGACUUGGCGUAAUAAGUAUUUCGCUAAGGACAUCUUCGGAUGGCCGCGUUGCAGGACUAAAGACCGCUUUCUAAUCCAUUGAUCUUCGGAUUAAUACUCUUGACAUCUGGCCUCAAAUCAGGUAGGACUACCCGCUGAACUUAAGCAUAUCAU
rnacentral:rRNA from 1 species